rnacentral:rRNA from 1 species
AUUGAACGCUGGCGGCAGGCCUAACACAUGCAAGUCGAACGGUAACAGGAAGAAGCUUGCUUCUUUGCUGACGAGUGGCGGACGGGUGAGUAAUGUCUGGGAAACUGCCUGAUGGAGGGGGAUAACUACUGGAAACGGUAGCUAAUACCGCAUAAUGUCGCAAGACCAAAGAGGGGGACCUUCGGGCCUCUUGCCAUCGGAUGUGCCCAGAUGGGAUUAGCUAGUAGGUGGGGUAACGGCUCACCUAGGCGACGAUCCCUAGCUGGUCUGAGAGGAUGACCAGCCACACUGGAACUGAGACACGGUCCAGACUCCUACGGGAGGCAGCAGUGGGGAAUAUUGCACAAUGGGCGCAAGCCUGAUGCAGCUAUGCCGCGUGUAUGAAGAAGGCCUUCGGGUUGUAAAGUACUUUCAGCGGGGAGGAAGGGAGUAAAGUUAAUACCUUGUCUCAUUGACGUUACCCGCAGAAGAAGCACCGGCUAACUCCGUG